UAAUACGUAGGUGGCAAGCGUUGUCCGGAUUUACUGGGUGUAAAGGGGGCGCAGGCGGGAAGCUAAGUUGGAUGUGAAAUACCGGGGCUCAACUCCGGAGCUGCAUCCAAAACUGGUUUUCUUGAGUGGAGUAGAGGCAAGCGGAAUUCCGAGUGUAGCGGUGAAAUGCGUAGAUAUUCGGAGGAACACCAGUGGCGAAGGCGGCUUGCUGGGCUCUAACUGACGCUGAGGCCCGAAAGCGUGGGGAGCAAACAGG
rnacentral:rRNA from 1 species